UACGAACUGCGCAAACGUUAUUCGGAAUCACUGGGCUUACAGGGUGCGUAGGCGGCUCAUCAGGUCCGAUGUGAAAUCCCACGGCUCAACCGUGGAAUGGCAUUGGAAACCGGUGGGCUCGAGUGAGCUAGAGGUGCAUGGAACUUCCGGUGGAGCGGUGAAAUGUGUUGAGAUCGGAAGGAACACCAGAGGCGAAAGCGAUGCACUGGGGCUUGUCUGACGCUGAGGCACGGAAGCCAGGGGAGCGAACGGG
rnacentral:rRNA from 1 species